rnacentral:rRNA from 1 species
AGUGAACGCUGGCGGGGGGCCUAACACAUGCAAGUCGAACGGCAGCACCGUAAGCGCUUGGUGUGGCGGGUGGCGGGUGGCGGGCGGGUGAGGAAUGCAUCGGAAUCUACUUUUUCGUGGGGGAUAACGGAGGAAGGGUUACGCUAAUACCGCAUACGACCUCCGGUGGGAGGGGGGGGAGAGUCUGACUCUGCGGGUGGGGGUGGGCCGGUGGCUUAUUAGCUUGUUGGUGGGGUAGUGGCUCACCAAGGCUUUGACGGGUAGCCGGCCUGAGAGGGUGACCGGCCACAUUGGGACUGAGAUACGGCCCAGACUCCUACGGGAGGCAGCAGUGGGGAAUAUUGCACAAUGGGCGGAAGCCUGAUGCAGCAACGCCGCGUGCGGGAUGACGGCCUUCGGGUUGUAAACCGCUUUCGCCUGUGACGAAGCGUGAGUGACGGUAAUGGGUAAAGAAGCACCGGCUAACUACGUG